AAUCAACGCUGGCGGCGUGCCUCAGACAUGCAAGUCGAACGAUUAAAGCUCUCUUCGGAGAGUGUAUAGAGUGGCGCACGGGUGAGUAACACGUAAGUAAUCUACCUUUGAGUGGGGAAUAACAAUCGGAAACGAUUGCUAAUACCGCAUAAUGCAGCGGCAUCGCAAGAUGACAGUUGUUAAAGGAGCAAUCCGCUUAAAGAGGAGCUUGCGGCAGAUUAGCUAGUUGGUAAGGUAAUGGCUUACCAAGGCUACGAUCUGUAACCGGUCUAAGAGGACGGUCGGUCACACUGACACUGAAUAACGGGUCAGACUCCUACGGGAGGCAGCAGUCGGGAAUUUUGGGCAAUGGGCGAAAGCCUGACCCAGCAACGCCGCGUGAAGGAUGAAGUAUUUCGGUAUGUAAACUUCGAAAGAA
rnacentral:rRNA from 1 species